UGCCAAAUCGGUGCAGGAGCUUCUGCGGAAGUUCUGGAGGAAAAAGACCUGAACCACCUUCUGGGCAGGCCCCUGUUGGCCACAGAGGAGAGGAACUAGACAGACUUUUUCCUCUGCGAUUCCACCACAAGGACUAGCAUUGUUUCAGGGGGCACCUACCUGGACAGCAGAGCAAGUGCUCCUGAAGGCACCAUCUGGACACCACAUAUGUUCCGGAAAGCUGAGCAGGUUUUUCAGGACAGGCAAAUAGUGUCUAAGACGGCUAAUGGGAAUGUUCAGUAGGGAUCUCAAGGAGAAAGUUUUUAUUAAAGUAGCUAAUUUUGGAGGAGAGCCUUCCUGAUAGGCAGUGAGCAUGACAGUGGUGGUACCUGUUGAUGGGUGGCUUGUAUAUCUCUAAGGCUUCUGAAACUCUGUUGUUGAAAAUGAGCGUCAGUAUUUUUCAGAGUGAAAAUCAGAGCUGCUUUGAAGUUACUCGCAUGUCCUUUAAUGCAGAAGACCUGAAAGAUGCUGGAAAUCAAGUGGGGCAUAAAUUGUAUUAAAAUUUCAGUUUAUUCUAUCAGGCCUUUAUAUGAUACUUCACCAGAUCAUGCUGUUGGUCAGUACUUGUGUUCACUGAUGAAGACCAGUUCAGUAGUUGGUCUGUAGAACAGACCUGCUUAAUGUUGGUUUCAGCCUGUAACUGCUGAGAGAGACUUGUUCCUGUAAGCCAGAGUUCUCUAAAAUCACGCUGACGUUGAACCCAGUUGGGGUGAGCGUAUAGACACGUGGUCUGAAGCCAGCCAGCCUCAGGAAAACGAAAUCAAAUCAGGCAGCUUAAAGCAGCAGCAGUUUGCAGUUACAUCGCUGUCAUGUCAAUCCAGACGUACGAGGCCGUAAAGAGAGAACUUGCAAAUUAAAUUUAUUUACAAAAGUAAAGCGAAGAGAGAAAGCCCACCAGCACAUGUGGAUGACUUCUGUCGUCAGAUUCUUCUUCUUCGCUCCUGGACAGCAUCUCUAGAAUGAGAUACUCUGAGAUUCGUGGGAAGGAGCCAGUAGGGAUAAAAAUGUGUCGGUCCCUUAAAAAGGAAGAAAAAAAACAACUGUAAAAAAGGCAGGUGAUGAGAAUCAAGACAGAAAAGCUGUUUUUCACAUCUCUCAUGAUGCAAACAAAGCGAAGAGUAAUAUCACCACUUCCUCAUGGUCUUCAGAAGAUUGAAAAUCUCCUUCUGAGUGGAGCGUGUUGUGGAGGUGAACAGAGGAGUACAGACAAACACGUGGUCUUCUGUUGGGUGAUUCAGACCUUCCAGGUCUGAAGAUGCAAGAACCAAGGCAUAGCUUAGAGUAGCCCUAAAGCUUCUUUAAGUUGUGCUUGGAAAACAGCUGUCUCUACGUGGCUGUCGGAGGGAAGGGGUCAUUUUAGUGUAUUUAAAGCUUGUUUAGUUCACACCAUCUUCUCUGUAAUUACUCAGGGCAUGCUAUUGUCACAACCAAUGAUCUGACUUCUUCACUAUCAUUCUUUCUUUAAUAAAAUUUCAAAAUUUAA